UGCUAUAUUCAAAUUGAAUUGUCAAAUAUUUCGGUAUUUGUACGCUUUUCGUCUGCUUAAAUCUGCGCAAUUUCCAUGGAGUUGAAUUACAUUUCGGUCACUUUUCCACUUUUCCGUGUUUCUGCUAAUUUGGGCAACCAUUGAAUAUGCACACCAAUACCACAGCAGAUACUCACACACACGCAGAUAGAGAGAGAGAGAAAAUACAGUUAGACGGCAACGGCAACGGCAAUGGAUGCGCAUCGUAAUGGCGGCAGCGGGUGGAUUUACGGCUGGAUGGUCGGUUGGCAGCCAAAGGCCGUCGACAGUCGACAGUCGGCUGUCCGAUGUCCGAUGUCCACACGGUCCGGAGUCCGCCAUGGGUAGCCGGUGGUGUUUGCUUGCCGGCAGCAAUAACCCUUUUUCACACACACACACACACACAAACACACUUGCACACUCGCACACACACUGUGUUGGCUUUGUGUUGGUGCUCGCCCACACCCGCCAUGUCGGACGCAGUGCGCCUGCCUGUCCGCCAUCGCCAUCGGCCCGCCACCCAAGAACCCAUCUCAUUAAAUAAUUCUGACCAUUUGAAA